AAAUAAAUAACCUAGUCCAUGGACACACAGCUAUAAGAAAGCUAAGUCAGAACUGGAAGCUAAGUGUAAGACCAAAGCUGGGUUAUUCCAAGGCUUUGUGCAAUUACAGAAAGGUGUCCAAGGGCACAAGGCUUAGGAAAAUAGACUAAUACAAUGUGUUUUUCUUGCUAGCAGCUGCAGUCCUAGCCCGGGACACAUGGGUGGUGAGUAAUGCACUGACUGUAUAGUUCAGUGUCUACUCACUUUCUCAGCAUAAUGACUCUGUGAAGUAUGUGGACCGGCCAAUUCUCUGUGGUAGCUCUCAUGCCAGGCCAGUAUCACAGCUCAAGUUUUAAAAAAAACUGAAGGAAGGACUCUGGAGAAGGUACCUGCCUCUAGAAAUCAAUCACCACGAGUUUGAGAACCAACGUGGACAGCACCCACUAAAACCAAAUGUGUUUCCUACAAUACUAGGCCUGCAGGAAAUUCUUAGUGAAUAUUGUAUUGACAGAGAUUACAAAAUAAUCCCAAACCUCUACAUCAGAGUCGCAAAGAAGAAGCCUUGGGCCAAAUCAUCCCACAGACAGUUCUGGAGGUUGGAAUUCUGAGAAGAGGGUGCCAGCAGGGUCGGGAUCUGGUGAGGAUCCUCUUCCUCAGGACCCAUGAAAACUUCUGCAUGACAAGAACAUCACACUCAAGGCAUGAGGCUCCAGGAACUGUGUGUUGGACUCAUCAGACUACGACUCUCUGAUACC
rnacentral:lncRNA from 12 species